AAUUUAUUCAGAGUGUCAAAAAUAUCGAACCAGGGAAAAUUGCCAGUUUAUUUUAAUAUUUAAAAGCUUUUUACCCUGGCAAAAUUACGAUAGGAGGAGAGUAUCGUGUUUGGCCUCGAUGUAUGUUCGUCGUUUGGCCCUGCAACUUCAAAACGGCUUAACCGACUUCGACUUUGUAGGUCUCGAUCGAUUCCUGUCAUGGCAGUGUUGCAGGUUAUGUAACGUAUGCGCCUAAAUCGGCGAAUUCGGCAACAGAAUCUAUUUUCUUCUUCGUUUACACAGCGCGUUUAUUUAUAGGUUUCGCAAUGAUUAUAAAAAUCGUCACGACGACGAUCAAUUUUUUUUAGUUUCACGUAUCGUUCGUUUUAACGUUUACUUUUUCAAUUGCUAGUUUCAACUAUCACACACUGUGAAAGAUAUUUGGCAGGCGUGUUUUUUCUUCCAUCGAUUACCAAUUACCGAGAUAAACAGCUAUUAUAAGAUCGAAUAUAUUACACGUCUACGUGACCGAAGAGCCUACUUGGCGCAUCACGUGCAAGUGACUUUUAAAAGUGCACCUCGCCAUGCAUAUAUUCGUAACUCGUGUCCAGAGACGACCAGUGCUACGUUGACCUUUCGAUAAUGUCGUCGAAGUCGGCGGCUGCAGCUGCGGCAGAUGCAACGCUAAUAACGAUCGUGCUUCUCAUCUGUGUACGUGGCGCCUUCUCCUAAGCCAGUGGUUCUUAACCUUUUGUCUACCACGGACCCCCUUUGGAUAAUUUUUCUGUCGUCACGAGCCACCAACAUCUAACUGGAACUUGAAAUCCUCGAAAAUUAAACGUUAUAACGUUAGUAACCCGUACAACUUUUUGCACAAAACUAUGCGAGCAAGGACCUCGUGACAGGUUAAGAAUUGCUGUUCCGAGCCAUUUUAACGCCACUGCGCUUUCUAACGCGAUCGAGAAGAUGUAUGCAAAAGUAUAGAACGUCGAUAAGUUAUCAGUCCCGAACCUUUCUGUUCGAUCGAGUACGACAUAGUCGAGGACGAUCGAAAGUAAGGCUAUUGCCGGAAGGAAAUUGCGUAAACGUUUCUCGAGCUUGUCCGAACGUUAGAAAGUUUCAAAUAUCUCGUGUCGCCAGUCGUUCCGAAAAGUUAUUCACUGCAACUUCUCUAGCUAGGGAUUUUCACGUGUCGAUUAUAUCAAUCCUUGAUGGCAUGAUCGAUAUAUGAUACUUUAUUCGUGGCGAUAAGUAUUAAUUCUGUAAGGAAUUCUUUUCAGGAAAAAAGUAUUUUUCGAAGCAGUUAGUAAUAAUUAGCUUGGCUUUUGUCUAUCGCGGCCUUUGUGAUAUAAACGCGUGGAUUAUUGAAAAAGCGAAAAGAAAGAAAAUAACCUAAAGAAACGUAAUACCAACGAAAUCACGCAGAACGUGUUCUCGGUGGUUUUUAGUUACUUUGCAAAGAUUAUCGAUCUUUUUUCGUUCCUAUCGCGUUCUAUUGCGUAUUAAAUGGUCGAUUUCGUUCGACAGAAUCUAUUAACCACGAGUGUUGUUAAAUAAGACUUGUCAGACGUUGGCCGAACGCUUCGCAUUUAACCAAACACAGCGUGAUCGUUGUUUCGUCGAUCGUUUUAUCGAAUUACAAAUCGACAUGGAAUUCUCGUAAAACUUGAAAUUUGCACGCAAUGCGACAACAAUCGCAAAAUCGAUAGGGAUUUUUGCAAAGCCAUAGACUAAGGGAAGAGAGAAGCUGCUGUGGACGUGAAAAACAAAGAAUGGAAACAUGGAAGUAAGAAAUUGGAAAGAAGCCACCAUAGAACACCACACCUUAGUGCGCUAAGAACUAAAAGAGAACAUAAAUUGUAUUCUCAGGAGAACAACGGGAGAAGACAGUGAACAACGGUUCGUGUCGCAAAACGGAAAGUCGUUGCGAAACGAGGAAACGAUUAUAGAAAUGCAACGGUAUUAUUUCUCAUUAUAUUGCACAAAACUGUAACGUGGCGCGCUCGGUUGUUCGUUAUGAGCUGUAUGGUGCAUUUCCCCCAGGCAAAUAUACGUCUGCGCGACGAGAAUAACUCGUAAUUGUACUUCAUUUAGCCGAGCUCGUCAGCUCUUGUGCUCACCUGCUUGAAAGGCACGUAUAAUCGGAUUUAUCGUUCUUUUCGAUGCUCUUGAAAACGUUUCAAACGCGACGCCUCUUACGACACGGGGCGGAAAAGGCAUCGAGUCAUUGAAGGAAGAUCGACAAUGGGUAAGCGAAGAAGCGAGAUUCUACGGCUUAGAAUAAGACGAAAGUGAAGAAUAAUAGAAUUAAGUUGCAGACCUACUUACUUAUCUCAGGCUGAUGGUCAAGUAAUUGAACUUGGCUUUACUUGAUAUAUACAGAGACAAAGUUAAAACUGAUUAAAACUGAACAUAAUACGGUAACACGACAGCUGUAUCGAUUCUUUGGUUAUUCUUCCUCUUUGUCUCUAAAUAUCUUCCUAUACAAAUUCUGGUCGUUACGCUUCAUUCAUUCCGCUUAUCCUUUGCCUAUCUGUUAUUUUACCUAUGCGUCAGUUGCUGAUUGUUGAGGUUGACUCAUAGAAUAAAGCGUGAAUAAAUUUGUAAUAGAUAAAUAUAUUGAGAUAAAUGAAGGUAUAGAUAUAAGUAUAGUGUAUGCUGAUUCAGAUACUCACUCUUACAGUGUUACAAUACAACAAAAGAAGCUAUGAUAGGGAGUACGUUCAUAUACAGGGUGGUUGGUAACUGGUGGUACAAGCGGAAAGGGGGUGAUUUUUUUUCUUUUUUUUUAACUUUUCCAUCGAGACAACGAUCUACAGUGAGAUCCGUUAUAACGAGACGUGAUAAAGUGCACGCGUACCGAGCGAAAAUUCAAAGUCGAUUUUCUCGAAAACAAAGCCUCAAACGAAAAAUUUUUAUUCUAUAUUUUCGACUUCUUUUUUCGCGUAGAAUCACCCCCUUUCCGCUUGUACCACCAGUUACCAACCACCCUGUAU